GCCAGGCGUGGUGGCACAUGUCUGUAAUCCUAGCUACUUGGGAGGCUGAGGCAGGAGAAUUGCUUGAGCCCAGGAGGCAGAGGUUGCAGUGAGCCAAGAUCGUGCCAUUGUACCCUAGCCUGGGCAACAGAGCAAGACUCUGUCUCAA
rnacentral:SRP_RNA from 1 species